ACGGGACCGGGUGGUCAGGCUCGCUGACUUGGUUGAAACAUGUGAUCGUAACCCAUUUGCGUAGAACGGUGUUCAUGUUGUUGAUCACCGGAUAGUCUGGCCCAGACUCGACAAUGCUACAGACGGCCGUCAUAUAGCU